rnacentral:rRNA from 1 species
AUUGAACGCUGGCGGCAGGCCUAACACAUGCAAGUCGAACGAGUGGCGGACGUGUUAGUAAUGUCUGGGAAACUUCCUGGUGGAUGGGGAUAACUACUGGAAACUGUAGCUACUACCGCAUACCAUCAGAUGUGCCCAGAUGGGAUUGGCUUGUUGGUGGGGUAACGGCUCACCAAGGCGACGAUCCCUAGCUGGUCUGAGAGGAUGACCAGCCACACUGGAACUGAGACACGGUCCAGACUCCUACGGGAGGCAGCAGUGGGGAAUAUUGAACAAUGGGCGAAAGCCUGAUGCAGCCAUGCCGCGUGUAUGAAGAAGGCCUUCGGGUUGUAAAGUACUUUCAGCGGGGAGGCGUUACCAGCAGAAGAAGCACCGGCUAACUCCGUGCCAGCAGCCGCGGUAAUAC